ACGAACGCUGGCGGCAUGCCUAACACAUGCAAGUCGAACGAGGUCCUUCGGGGCCUAGUGGCGCACGGGUGCGUAACGCGUGGGAAUCUGCUCUUGGGUACGGAAUAACAGCGAGAAAUUGCUGCUAAUACCGUAUGAUGUCGCGAGACCAAAGAUUUAUCGCCUGAGGAUGAGCCCGCGUUGGAUUAGGUAGUUGGUGGGGUAAGAGCCUACCAAGCCGACGAUCCAUAGCUGGUCUGAGAGGAUGAUCAGCCACACUGGGACUGAGACACGGCCCAGACUCCUACGGGAGGCAGCAGUGGGGAAUAUUGGACAAUGGGCGAAAGCCUGAUCCAGCAAUGCCGCGUGAGUGAUGAAGGCCUUAGGGUUGUAAAGCUCUUUUACCCGGGAUGAUAAUGACAGUACCGGGAGAAUAAGCCCCGGCUAACUCCGU
rnacentral:rRNA from 1 species